AUUGAACGCUGGCGGCAGGCCUAACACAUGCAAGUCGAACGAGUGGCGGACGGGUGAGUAAUGUCUGGGAAACUGCCCGCUGUAGGGGGAUAACUACUGGAAACGGUAGCUAAUACCGCAUACCAUCGGAUGUGCCCAGAGGUGAUGAGCUAGUAGGUGGGUUAACGGCUCACCUAGGCGACGAUCCCUAGCUGGUCUGAGAGGAUGACCAGCAACAGUGGGACUGAGACAAGGUCCAGACUCAUACGGGAGGCACCAGUGGGAAAUAUUGCGCAGUGGGCGCAAGCCUGAUGCAGCCAGGCCGCGUGUAGGAAGAAGGCCUUCGGGUUGUAAAGUACUAUAAGCGAGGAGGCGUUACUCGCAGAAGAAGCACCGGCUAACUCCGUGCCAGCAGCCGCGGUAAUAC
rnacentral:rRNA from 1 species